rnacentral:lncRNA from 1 species
GAGACAGCAUUAAUUGUGUCUUCAUGUGGAGGAAAUGCCAAACUAGACAGAAGAGUGUGUGUAUGCAUUUUGUUUUGUUUUGUUUUGUUUUUGUCAAUUAAUAUGCUUUGUAUGUGCAAAUAAAUCACAUUGUUUUUUAAGAAAGAUAAAUUCUGAUCUUUGGAUACUCAUAUUGCCUGCAGACUUACAUGAAGAAAUUGUUACAGAUGUCAUGUUUUGAGGAUGGCUGAUCCUGUGCUUGGAAGCCAGAUGGAAAGUACUAACAUUUGGGACAGUCUUACCUGAUUUAAACCUCAGGUAAAAAUAAAUAUAUCCAGGCUGGAUGAAGACAAUUCCAUCAAUAUUAAUCAAAUCAAGAUAAUGAAUCUUUCCAUGAGUUGGACUCAAUGACCCUUGUGGGUCUCUUCCAACGUGGGAUAUUCUAUGAUUUUAUUGAGUUUCCACAUCCUUAUUGAUGUUGCCUCACUCAAUACUGUUUUCAAUUACAUGAAUGCUGGCUAUGUUUUCCAAAGGAUUCCUGUCUUGUUCAUUGCAGAGGAUUGUUCAAUAUAUGGCCCAUGUCUUAUUCAGUUCACACUAGCAAAAUUCUGCUGUGAACAGGUUUGUUAACAAGCUUGCUAAUUUUAACUUUGUUUACAUCAGCCAUAUUUUUAUG